rnacentral:rRNA from 1 species
GCGGAGGAAAAGAAACUAACAAGGAUUCCCCUAGUAACUGCGAGUGAAGCGGGAAAAGCUCAAAUUUAAAAUCUGGUGGUCUUUGGCCAUCCGAGUUGUAAUUUAGAGAAGCGUCUUCCGCGCCGGACCGUGCACAAGUCUCCUGGAAUGGAGCGUCAUAGAGGGUGAGAAUCCCGUCUUUGGCACGGACUCCUGGUGCUUCUGUGAUGCGCUCUCGAAGAGUCGAGUUGUUUGGGAAUGCAGCUCAAAAUGGGUGGUGAACUCCAUCUAAAGCUAAAUAUUGGCGAGAGACCGAUAGCGAACAAGUACCGUGAGGGAAAGAUGAAAAGCACUUUGGAAAGAGAGUGAAACAGUACGUGAAAUUGUUGAAAGGGAAACGCUUGAAGUCAGUCGCGUCGACCGAGACUCAGCCUUGCCUUGGCUUGGUGUACUUCUCGGCUUGACGGGUCAGCAUCAAUUUUGCCCCUCGGAUAAUGGCAAGGGAAAGGUGGCACCUCUAGGGGUGUGUUAUAGUCUCCUGUCACAUGUGAGGGGGGGGAUUGAGGAACUCAGCGCGCACCUUGGUGUCGGGGCUUUUGCCCACGUCACGCGCUUAGGAUGCUGGCGUAAUGGCUUUAAACGACCCGUCUUGAAACACGGACCAAGGAGUCCAACAUGCCCGCAAGUGUUCGGGUGGAAAACCCGUGCGCGUAAUGAAAGUAAAAGUUGGGACCUCUGUCGUGGAGGGCCACGACGCCCGGACCAGACCUUCUGUGACGGAUCUGCGGUAGAGCGUGUAUGUUGGGACCCGAAAGAUGGUGAACUAUGCCUGAAUAGGGUGAAGCCAGAGGAAACUCUGGUGGAGGCUCGUAGCGAUUCUGACGUGCAAAUCGAUCGUCAAAUUUGGGUAUAGGGGCGAAAGACUAAUCGAACCAUCUAGUAGCUGGU